CUUAAAUGAAUUGACGGGGAGCACCACAACAGGUGGAGCCUGCGGUUUAAUCGGACUCAACGCCGGGAAACUCACCAGAUAAGACAGCUGAAUGAUAGUCGGGCUGAAGACUCUACUUGACUAGCUGAGAGGAGGUGCAUGGCCGUCGUCAGUUCGUACUGUGAAGCAUCCUGUUAAGUCAGGCAACGAGCGAGACCCACGCCAACAGUUGCCAGCAUGUCCUCCGGGAUGGUGGGGACACUGUUGGGACCGCCUCUGCUAAAGAGGAGGAAGGAAUGGGCAACGGUAGGUCAGCAUGCCCCGAAUUAUCCGGGCUACACGCGGGCUACAAUGGUCAGGACAAUGGGCAUCAACACCGAAAGGUGAAGGCAAUCUCCUAAACCCAUCCGUAGUUCGGAUUGUGGGCUGCAACUCGCCCACAUGAAGCUGGAAUCUGUAGUAAUCGUGUUUCAAAAUAGCACGGUGAAUAUGUCCCUGCUCCUU
rnacentral:rRNA from 1 species